UACGGGUAUAGCUCAGCUGGUAGAGCAAUGGUCUCCAAAACCAUAGGUCGUGGGUUCGAUCCCUACUGCCCGUGUCC
rnacentral:tRNA from 1 species